GACGAACGCUGGCGGCGUGCUUAACACAUGCAAGUCGAGCGAUGAAGCUCCUUCGGGAGCGGAUUAGCGGCGGACGGGUGAGUAACACGUGGGUAACCUGCCUCAUAGAGGGGAAUAGCCUUUCGAAAGGAAGAUUAAUACCGCAUAAGAUUGUAGCUUCGCAUGAAGUAGCAAUUAUAGGAGUAAUCCGCUAUGAGAUGGACCCGCGUCGCAUUAGCUAGUUGGUGAGGUAACGGCUCACCAAGGCGACGAUGCGUAGCCGACCUGAGAGGGUGAUCGGCCACAUUGGGACUGAGACACGGCCCAGACUCCUACGGGAGGCAGCAGUGGGGAAUAUUGCACAAUGGGGGAAACCCUGAUGCAGCAACGCCGCGUGAGUGAUGACGGUCUUCGGAUUGUAAAGCUCUGUCUUCAGGGACGAUAAUGACGGUACCUGAGGAGGAAGCCACGGCUAACUACGUGCCAGCAGCCGCAGUAA
rnacentral:rRNA from 1 species